CCUACGGGUGGCUGCAGUGGGGAAUAUUGCACAAUGGGGGAAACCCUGAUGCAGCGACGCCGCGUGAAGGAAGAAGUAUUUCGGUAUGUAAACUUCUAUCAGCAGGGAAGAAAAUGACGGUACCUGACUAAGAAGCCCCGGCUAACUACGUGCCAGCAGCCGCGGUAAUACGUAGGGGGCAAGCGUUAUCCGGAUUUACUGGGUGUAAAGGGAGCGUAGGCGGUGCAGCAAGUCAGAAGUGAAAGCCCGGGGCUCAACGUGGGAACUGCCUUUGAAACUGGCAAACUGGAGUGUGUGAGAGGAUAGUGGAAUUCCAGGUGUAGGAGUGAAAUCCGUAGAUAUCUGGAGGAACAUCAGUGGCGAAGGCGACUAUCUGGCACAUAACUGACGCUGAGGAGCGAAAGCGUGGGUAGCAAACAGGAUUAGAUACCCCUGUAGUC
rnacentral:rRNA from 1 species